rnacentral:rRNA from 1 species
UGGGGAAUUUUGGACAAUGGGCGCAAGCCUGAUCCAGCCAUACCGCGUGAGUGAAGAAGGCCUUCGGGUUGUAAAGCUCUUUCAGACGGAAAGAAACGGUUACGGCUAAUACCCGUGACUAAUGACGGUACCGUAAGAAGAAGCACCGGCUAACUACGUGCCAGCAGCCGCGGUAAUACGUAGGGUGCGAGCGUUAAUCGGAAUUACUGGGCGUAAAGCGUGCGCAGGCGGUUAUAUAAGACAGAUGUGAAAUCCCCGGGCUCAACCUGGGAACUGCAUUUGUGACUGUAUAGCUAGAGUACGGCAGAGGGGGAUGGAAUUCCGCGUGUAGCGGUGAAAUGCGUAGAUAUCAAGAGGAACACCUGAGGUGAAGACGGGUUGCUGGGCUGACACUGACGCUGAGGCGCGAAAGCCAGGGGAGCAAACGGGAUUAGAUACCCACGUAGUCCCUGAGCGGGCUGGCAAGGCGCAU